rnacentral:rRNA from 1 species
AUCAGACACGGUGCCAGCAGCCGCGGUAAUACGAAGGGGGCUAGCGUUGUUCGGAAUUACUGGGCGUAAAGCGCACGUAGGCGGAUAUUUAAGUCAGGGGUGAAACUCCCAGAGCUCAACUCUGGAACUGUCCUUUGAUACGUGGGUAUCUUGAGUAUGGAAGAGGUAAGUGGAAUUCCGAGUGUAGAGGUGAAAUUCGUAGAUAGUUCGGAGGAACACCAGUGG